GACGAACGCUGGCGGCGUGCUUAACACAUGCAAGUCGAACGGAAAGGCCCUGCUUUUGUGGGGUGCUCGAGUGGCGAACGGGUGAGUAACACGUGAGUAACCUGCCCUUGACUUUGGGAUAACUUCAGGAAACUGGGGCUAAUACCGGAUAGGAUCUCCUGCUGCAUGGUGGGGGUUGGAAAGUUUCGGCGGUUGGGGAUGGACUCGCGGCUUACCAGCUUGUUGGUUGGGUAGUGGCUUACCAAGGCUUUGACGGGUAGCCGGCCUGUGAGGGUGACCGGCCACAUUAGGACUGAGAUACGGCCCAGACUCCUACGGGAGGCAGCAGUGGGGAGUAUUGCACAAUGGGCGGAAGCCUGAUGCAGCAACGCCGCGUGCGGGAUGACGGCCUUCGGGUUGUAAACCGCUUUCGCCUGUGACGAAGCGUGAGUGACGGUAAUGGAUAAAGAAGCACCGGCUAACUACGUG
rnacentral:rRNA from 1 species